rnacentral:rRNA from 1 species
CCUACGGGAGGCAGCAGUGAUUAAUAUUUUUCAAUUUACUAACUUCUUAACCAUCCAAUUCUCUUUAAUGAUGACUGCCCUAUUGGUUGUAAACUUCUUUUAUAAAGGAAUAAAACGAGGCACGUGUGCCUUUUUGCAGGUACUUUAUGAAUAAGGCUCGGCUAACUCCGGGCCAGCAGCCGCGGUAAUACGGAGGAUCCGAGCGUUAUCCGGAUUUAUUGGGUUUAAAGGGAGCGUAGAUGGGUUGUUAAGUCAGGUGUGAAAGUGUGGGGCUCAACCGUAAAAUUGCAAUUGAUACUGGCAGUCUGGAGUACAGUAGAGGUAGGCGGAAUGCGUGGUGUAGCGGUGAAAUGCGUAGAUAUCACGAAGAACCCCGAUGGCGAAGGCAGCUUACUAAACUGUGACUGACAUUGAUGCUCGAAAGUGUGGGUAUCAAACAGGAUUAGAUACCCCAGUAGUC